rnacentral:rRNA from 1 species
AUUGAACGCUGGCGGCAUGCCUUACACAUGCAAGUCGAACGGUAACAGGUCUUCGGAUGCUGACGAGCGGCGAACGGGUGAGUAAUACAUCGGAACGUGCCCGAUCGUGGGGGAUAACGGAGCGAAAGCUUUGCUAAUACCGCAUACGAUCUACGGAUGAAAGCAGGGGACCGCAAGGCCUUGCGCGGACGGAGCGGCCGAUGGCAGAUUAGGUAGUUGGUGGGAUAAAAGCUUACCAAGCCGACGAUCUGUAGCUGGUCUGAGAGGACGACCAGCCAAACUGGGACGGAGACACGGCCCAGACUCCGACGGGGGUCAGCAGUGGGGAAUUUUGGACAAUGGGGGAAAGCCUGAUCCAGCCAUGCCGCGUGCAGGAUGAAGGCCUUCGGGUUGUAAACUGCUUUUGUACGGAACGAAAAGACUCUGGUUAAUACCUGGGGUCCAUGACGGUACCGUAAGAAUAAGCACCGGCUAACUACGUGCCAGCCGCCGCCGUAAAAC